GUGUUCUUUAUUUUCUGCAAGUUUAAUUUCUGAUAUUAAGAUCGAUUGUAUCUUACAACUUAUUGUGUGGGUUUUUGGCCCCCUUUCAGUGGUAUCAGAGCGUUGAACUGGGGCAAGAUACCUGGAUCUUUGAAGGAGGGAUCGAUCUACUGCAGAUCUGAAAUUUUUGGAACUGCUUUUAAGCAGUAUUGAAGGACCUUGAGUAUUUUAUACUCGUUGGGUGAGAUCUUUUAAAUUUGUAAAGUUUACUUUAUGAAAUUGUGUGUUUCGAUUUUCUUCCUUUGAUUAACCAUACAGCAACUACCCACUGGUGUCUGGUCUUUGUCCAAAGACUCCUGUGAGAUCUUGGAAAUCUGAGAAAAGCCCGGUUUGGGGGUGUAUCUGGGGAAUCUUGAAGGAGGAAUUUUUCAGAAACCUAAAAUUUUUGCCCUCUGUUAUUGAGUCCUUGAUUUGAUAUGUAUAUUACAUAUGUGUUUUAAACUUGCAUGUGUUGUGUCAUCUUGAACAAUACUGUGAACAAUACUAUGAAUCUGAGUUGACAUUGUUGUGUGUCCAGUGUAUGCUGUGGUGUGAUCUUUUGACUCGAAAUUGUACAUUUUGUGUGACAUAAGAAAAUGGCUACUGCUAAAUUUGAGGUUGCACGAUUCGAUGGAAAAAUUGAUUACAAUAUGUGGAGUCAAAAGAUGAAAGCUAUAUUAAUGCAAAUGAGAUGUGUUAGGGCUUUAGAUGGCACUUGGCCUCAAGACAUGAACCCUGCUAGGAAGGCUGAAUUAGAAGAGGUAGCAUGGAGUACUAUUUUCUUGUAUCUGUCUGAGAAUGUUAUAAGAACUAUUGGUGAAACUAAGACAGCUUCUGAACUGUGGACUAAAUUAGAAAAACAGUAUGUGACAAAAACCAUCCCAAACAAAUGUUAUCUGUUAAAACAACUCUUUUUCUUUUAAGAUGGACCAUUGGAUGAUAACUUGAAUAGGUUUACAAAAUUG
rnacentral:lncRNA from 1 species